rnacentral:misc_RNA from 1 species
AUGGGAACUUAUGAUGAUAGGUCAUUGAGCAUUGUAGAUUACUAGUAGAGAUGACCAAAUCCAAAGGGGAAACAGCAUCCUUGCUUGAGAAAAAGCCAUAGAAGGGAGAUCCAACAACACCAAAUUAGAAGCAAAACUCACCGCCCAGAACUUGAUCUCUUCAAACCAAAUUAACCAACCCAUUGGAAUAGGGGAGUCGCGCAGCAAGGCCAAAGAAACCGCAGAGGGGAGGACCACUGCCGGAUGAGACCAGGAACAGGAUGGCGUGGACGAUGCCCAAACAGCCCAUCAGCACCUCAUAACGCCAACUAACAGGGGAGACCUAUCAUCACAAGGGAGCAUCACCAUUGAUCUUGAUCAUUUGAUGCUUUUUUAACCCA